GGAUUGUGGUCUCUCAUACCGGACGGGGUAUGGAGUCCUUAUGUGUUUUGGCGCCCAUACCGGACGGAGUAUGGGGACGGCCCGUUUCACCCUUAUACCGGACGGGGUAUUGAGGUUUAUAGUUUUGGCGCCCAUACCGGACGGGGUAUGGGGACGGUCCUGAAAUCUGAUUACAAGUGUUAAGGGUUCACGGGUAGCGGGACCCCUAU
rnacentral:lncRNA from 1 species